ensembl:lncRNA
UGCCCCUUGACACAUUCAAAUGUAAAGAUAAAGUAAAAUAGUUGAGGCAGCUUUUAUUUUUGCAAAUACGUUCACUUUAUUUGUAUUUUUUACCACAAAAUAAUGAAAUAUGCAGCAUCCCUUAAUUUUUACAUUAAAAAUAGUUAUUACAAUCAAUGAUAUGAGCAUUAUAUGGAUACAAGUAUGAAGUUGCAGUGCAAAGGCUUACAAAAUCUUGAGCAAAAUCAAAUAUAUUACUUUAAAAUUCUUUACCCUAAAUUACAGAGGUGCAAAUGAUCCCUUUGGGCCUCAACCAAUAUCCACAUAAAAUUAGUUCAAACAUAUUUCAUUUAGAUCUAAUAAAACUAUUCAAAAUAAAAAAUCCACCUUGUAUAAACUCACCUUUCCAUGUUAAGACUCCUCCUUACCUGUCCACAAAUAAAAUAUAGGUGAUCAACUAAAUCCUCCGGUCUUUUUACUGACCCUUAUUCCAAUCACAGAGGAGGCUUUACCUCUUCUCUGUGUCUGGUCAGGUCUGGUCAGGUUUGGUCUGGUCAUUAUGCUGGUCAGGUCAGGUCUGGUCAGGUAUGGUCAUUAUGCUGGUCAGGUCAGGUCAGGUCUGGUCAGGUCAGGUCAGGUCUGGUCAGGUCUGGUCAGGUCAGGUCAGGUCAGGUCUGGUCAGGUCUGGUCAGGUCAGGUCUGGUCAGGUCAGGUCAGGUCUGGUCAGGUCUGGUCAGGUCAGGUCUGGUCAGGUCAGGUCAGGUCAGGUCAGGUCUGGUCAGGUCAGGUCAGGUCAGGUCUGGUCAGGACAUUAUGUUGGUCAGGUCUGGUCAGGACAUUAUGCUGGUCAGGUCUGGUCAGGACAUCAUGCUGGUCUGGUCUGGACAUUAUGCUGGUCAGGUCUGGUCAGGUCUGGUCAGGACAUUAUGCUGGUCGGGUCAGGACAUUAUGCUGGCCAGGUCUGGUCAGGACAUUAUGCUGGUCGGGUCAGGACAUUAUGCUGGCCAGGUCUGGUCAGGACAUUAUGCUGGUCAGGUCUGGUCUGGUCAGGUCAGGUCUGGUCAGGACAUUAUGCUGGUCAGGUCUGGUCAGGUCAGGUCAGGUCUGGUCAGGACAUUAUGCUGGUCAGGUCAGGUCUGGUCUGGUCAGGUCUGGUCAGGUCAGGUCUGGUCAGGUUUGGUCAGGACAUUAUGUUGGUCAGGUCUGGUCAGGACAUUAUGCUGGUCAGGUCUGGUCUGGUCAGGUCAGGUCUGGUCAGGUCUGGCCAAGUCUGGUCUGGUCAGGACAUUAUGCUGGUCAGGUCUGGUCAGGACAUUAUGCUGGUCUGGUCUGGUCAGGUCAGGUCAGGUCAGGUCAGGUCAGGUCAGGUCAGGUCAGGACAUUAUGCUGGUCUGGUCAGGGCAGGUCUGGUUAGGUCUGGACAGGUCAGGUCAGGUCAGGACAUUAUGCAGGUCUGGUCAGUUCUGGUCAGGUCUGGUCAGGUCUGGUCAGGACAUUGAUGCUUGAUCCUUUCACUGCAUUGCCAUUGUAGCCUCAGCAUCUGAAAAUACACA